rnacentral:rRNA from 1 species
AGAGUUUGAUCCUGGCUCAGGACGAACGAUGGCGGCGUGCCUAACACAUGCAAGUCGAGCGGGGAACUUCGGUUCCCAGCGGCGGACGGGUGAGUAACACGUGGGUAACCUGCCUUGUAGAGGGGGAUAGCCUUCCGAAAGGAAGAUUAAUACCGCAUAACGUACAUGCUUUGCAUGAAGAAUGUAUCAAAGGAGCAAUCCGCUACAAGAUGGACCCGCGGCGCGUUAGCUAGUUGGUGAGGUAACGGCUCACCAAGGCGACGAUGCGUAGCCGGCCUGAGAGGGUGAACGGCCACAUUGGAACUGAGACACGGUCCAGACUCCUACGGGAGGCAGCAGUGGGGAAUAUUGCACAAUGGGCGAAAGCCUGAUGCAGCAACGCCGCGUGAGUGAAGAAGGCCUUCGGGUUGUAAAGCUCUGUCUUCUGGGACGAUAAUGACGGUACCAGAGGAGGAAGCCACGGCUAACUACGUGCCAGCAGCCGCGGUAAUACGUAGGUGGCAAGCGUUGUCCGGAUUUACUGGGCGUAAAGGAUGCGUAGGCGGAUGCUUAAGUCAGAUGUGAAAAUCCCGAGCUUAACUUGGGAACUGCAUUUGAAACUGGGUAUCUAGAGUGCGGGAGAGGAAAGUGGAAUUCCUAGUAUAGCGGUGAAAUGCGUAGAGAUUAGGAAGAACACCAGUGGCGAAGGCGACUUUCUGGACCGUAACUGACGCUGAGGCAUGAAAGCGUGGGGAGCAAACAGGAUUAGAUACCCUGGUAGUCCACGCCGUANACGAUGAAUACU